rnacentral:miRNA from 1 species
CGGCGGCGGCAGCGGUUGUUCCUACCUCUCCGCCACCUCCACCGCUGCCUGUCCUUCGGCCGGAGGCGUUGGCGGGGAGGG